CACAAUCUGCCGUGCCGACAACGACAAGCUGCGCAUACGUAGUGUGAUCUGACUGUAGGUGAAUAGCAGGAUUUGCAACCAGUAACUUCUUGAAAGAUGGCGUACAAGGUGGUUCUUCUGUUCCUGGCCCUGAUGUUGUUUGUGGGGGCGUGUCGCUCACAGGAAAUGGUGGGCGACGAGGACGCCUUCAACGCCCUGCGAGACCUGAUGCUGAGAGAGGCCAGGGGAAGUAACAGCAGAAACGCCCAAGUUUUGUGCGUCAUUACCAGCAGGACCGUCUGCUACUGUGACGAGAAGGGCAGAAAGCCUUUCUGUGUCCCUCGCAAAUAGCAAAUUGGAAA